ACAGCCAGGAACAGACGUUCCAAAUUUAUUCCUUUUUUUCGGGACAGUUUCCCGCCACCGUAACAAAAGUUCAGUGCGCGCGUGUGACGGUAAGUGAAAUCCGUCAGUGUAUCGGUGUGUGGUCCGGGCAUACAAAAGUCCUGGUGUAGGGUCGCCGAGACGGGAAGCUAAUCGCUAAGGAGCUACUCGCUUCCCCGGCUAAAUAAAAAGGACCCAAGUGACACCAGUGCCGUUCUCACUGUGGAGGAUCAGUCGAACGAGCCAAGCUCUCCUCCACAGUUAAUUGCCAAGGAGAACGAAGCAGGGCGGACAAAGGUUCCCCCUGGGAAGUUUACUGCGGUAACUUCCGGGAUCGUUUACGGCGAGUAGACGAUCCGGCGAUUCGUCGCCAACGUCGCUAGGGAGGUUCCAACAAAGGAGCCAAGCUCACCUCCCUAGCUAAAAGCCAAGGACCGCUGCCGGAGCAGCCAACGACACCAGAAGGAGAACGCGGCCGUUGUGUUCCCGGCCGGUCGGAAAAAAAACCGUCGCCUUCCCGCCGCCAUCAGCAGCAGACCGUAAGGAACGACCAGCAGAGGAGAGUUUCGGGAGAAUAAACGAUCGAACACCAACAACAUAAUAUCAUGGUAAUCACCCAGCAAGAGAACGCAGUGAUAAUGGGCCAACAGAAAACACAACAUCAAGAUGCUCGGAAAGGACUUGCUCUUUCGAACAAACAUAAUGGCACGUCAUGUUCAAUCGGCUAACCGUUUGGAAUAAGCGCUCAUCAUCGGUUUCAUGGCAGGGAAGUGAGCAGGCAAAAGCAGGCAUCGUUUUUUCAGCAAGGUCACUCUGGUCAAAAUUUCAGC